GGUAGCUCAGUUGGUAGAGCAGCGGACUGAAAAUCCGCGUGUCGGUGGUUCGAAUCCGCCCC
rnacentral:tRNA from 1 species